rnacentral:rRNA from 1 species
UGCCAGCCGCCGCGGUAAUACGGAGGGGGUUAGCGUUGUUCGGAAUUACUGGGCGUAAAGCGCACGUAGGCGGAUCAGAAAGUAAGGGGUGAAAUCCCAGGGCUCAACCCUGGAACUGCCUCUUAAACUCCUGGUCUUGAGUUCGAGAGAGGAGAGAGGAAUUCCUGGUGUAGAGGUGAAAUUCGUGGAUAUUCGGAGGAACACCAGUGGCGAAGGCGGCUCACUGGCUCGAUACUGACGCUGAGGUACGAAAGUGUGGGGAGCAAACAGGAUUAGAUA